GUCCACGCCGUAAACGAUGGAUACUAGCUGUUGGGGCAACUUCAGUGGCUAAGCGAAAGUGAUAAGUAUCCCACCUGGGGAGUACGUUCGCAAGAAUGAAACUCAAAGGAAUUGACGGGGCCCGCACAAGCGGUGGAGCAUGUGGUUUAAUUCGAUGAUACGCGAGGAACCUUACCAAGGCUUAAAUGUAGAUUGACCGGACUGGAAACAGACCUUUCGCAAGACAAUUUACAAGGUGCUGCAUGGUUGUCGU
rnacentral:rRNA from 1 species